CACAGAUCAUUUGUUCAAUUACUACAUUAAUGAGAAGGAUAUCCUGAAAGAAAACAUAUUUCCAUUAGACCUGGUUUGGAGAUAAGACAAAUAUACCAACUGAAAGAAUAAAAUCAGAAUUAUACAGAAAAAAACAAAGAAUAAACAAACUUUUUUAAGCUUUUACAUUCCUAAUAUUUUGCAAAACAUAUUUAAACUUUUAGGUACCUAAUAUCUUUCAAAAUUCUAUAAACACAUGAGUGAAAAAACCUAGUAAAAAAAGCAGAGCACACUACAGCUUAUGAUAACAUCAGUAUAGGGGAAGUGGGAAACAAAACAAUUUACCAGUGAUUCUUGUUCACUGGAAAUUCUAACAGAUGCUCAUUCUAGAUUUCAGCCUCAGUUAUGAGUUUAGAAGUUGAGUGAAUAAGACCACAUAUCUUGUGACCCUAAAACACAGACUGUCUCAGCUUUUUUUUUUUUUUAAUUCUUUAACGUUCAUUUUUAUUUUUGAGGCAGAGAGAGCAUCAGUGGGGGAGGUACAGAGAAAGGGAGACACAAUUAGAAGCAAGCUCCAGGCUCUGAGCUGUCAGCACAGAGCCGAAUGCAGAGCUUGAAGCCAUUAACUGUGAGAUCAUGACCUGAGCUGAAGUCAGACGCUUAACUGACUGAGCCACCCAGGUGCCCUGAUUGUCUCAGCUUCUAACGAGAAAAUCCUUUCUGGCAAAAAAAGGGGAAAACUCAGUACAACUCUCCACAGGAAGCAAGUGGGUGUGCACUGUGUUACAUAAUAAUCUAAAACUACACAGAUUUGUUGUUACAUUAGUUGCAUGCUUUGGCAUCUAGAUUAUGAAACUACAAAGCAGCCUGCAGAUACAAAAUCUGCUUUUGGCGUAUAUUUUUAAGAAAUCUUGGGAAUUAAAAUACAAUACAAAGCGACUGUUCAUGUCAAAGAAAAAAGUUUUCACAUAAACUCAGUGGAUCUGAGAAUAUGUUUAUAACUGGGGGAAGAAAGGUAGUAACUAAAGGAGAUGAACUAGGGAACUGCGUGGAAUGAAGAUGAACUUAAAUUGGGAGAAUUCUGUAAAGUAAUAAAAAGAAAUCUUCAGUAUAAAGCAUUUUUUGUUAUUAUUUUGUUUUGCUAGCCCCUCUCAAACUUAAUACAUUGUGAUUUCCAAAAAUAUUUCCCUGUAAAGUUCCUUAAAAUUCCUUAAAUUCAGCGAAGAACCAACAAAACCAUGUCACAGCAACUGAACUGCUCAAAAUUAGAACUCUACCCCUACCAUGUUUCAAAAUUUGAACACCAAUAAAUCAACUGUCAUGGCAUUAGGAACAGAAUAAAAUCUCUUCAGAGUUAUUAUGAAAUAAAAUUCACAGACCUACAUUAAUAAAUUCAGAUCCAAGCCUCAUUUCAAUUAGAAGGAAAGAUUACACAUUAAUCUGCUGCUCUUAUUCUGAUAUGAUCGGCAAAGCAUAACUCAUGUAAAAUAUCAAGAUACUACAAAAAGGUGUCAGCUAAUAAACUUUCUUCAGAACAAUGCUAUGGUAUUUACUUACUUUAAAUCUGUCAAUAUGUACAAAUUGGAUUCUACCAGUUAAUUAGGGCCUCAGAUAAUUUGCUCAAUUAUAUACAAUCUUCUUUCAUAAAUUCAUUCAUUUAAAACUUGACACACACAAAAAUCAUAAAUGACGAAUUUAAGUUACAUCUAAAUGAAACCACAGUGGCAAGAAAGGCUUCUUAUGGUAUAGCUCAUACACUGAAAUGUCAUUUUAAAACAGUCUUCAAACUUUCUGCUCUUCUCUCUUACAUGCAAUGUCUCACAAAUCCUGCUUCCAUCAAUAUCAAUGCCAAACUCUGAGUCGCAUAAUUUAGUGACUUGUGGAGGUGAAAAAAGCCAAUUUAUAUAUUUCAUAGAGAAACAGAUGGCUAUAGAGAACUAUAGCCCUUUUAGGAAAUAAGAAAAGAACUGCCUUUCUCAAAGGCCUGUAAGACCUCCCUGCUAGAGACAGGUAUAUGCACCACUGAAUGCUAUCUUCAGAAUGUUUUAAGAUACUGAAACUUCACCUAGGAAGGGCACAGAGGUCAGUAGAUAAAUUGCAAUCUCUAGGUUUAAAGAUAUGCUUGGUGUAAGAUCUUCAGAAUACAUAAGAAGCAAAUAGUUUGGAAGCCUACUAAACAGUUGAGGAAGCUUAACUGUCAAGAAAGCUUUAAAAUAAAGAACAGUCCAUGACUGUUCAAUCUCUUAAGACCACCACUGGGCCAGAGAACUCAUACCAACAGAAAGUAAGCUAUGAAGAUUAUACAGAUGCUUGGAAGAAAGGCAUCCUCUACUGCCCAUCCCAGAUGUAGCCACAGCUGAUCAUGUCCUGAGAGAAGAAAGGCUUUGGAAGAAAACAGGCAAGGGAGAUUCUUCAGAGACAGCUGGUUUGGUUAAGAAGUCUGAGCUGUUGCUAUUCAACAAAUAACUGAUGGACCAAUGCAUCACAGUUGUGAAUGAACGACUGCUGUAUGUAUGUUCUCCCUUUUCCAAACAAAAGCAGUUUAGUUUUGAUGUUGGGGGCGAUAAAUUUUUUUGUUUAUAGGUCAGUGAAACACUAGGAGCCUUAUCUGGACCUGAAGGACUAUGUAAUACCCAAAUACUCUGGAUGUGGCACUGGAUACAAAAGUGAAUGGAAACUUGAUUUGUCUCCCUUGACGGAAGGGUGGAUGAGGAAAGAAAAAUGUAUAUAAAUGUUAGGUAGGUAUAGAGGUAGACUGCAGUUGAUACUAGGAGAUGCCAACUUAGUCUCUACUCUCUGUUUUGUUAGCAGAGCCCAAAUUUUGUUCAGAGAGGCAAUGUACUUACCUAAAACACUAUUUCCCAGCAUCCUUCAUUGCUAAGGAUAAUUCACUUUUGGCCAAAGAAAUCCAAGUAGAAUUGCUAAGUGGAACCUCCAGGAAAGUGCUUUAAAAUGAAACACAAAAGCUAUCUAGCCUUCUCCAUUACUCUGCCCUCUGCUUUCAUAUUCUUCUUGCCUGGAGGUGGAAUAGUAAUCUUACAACCUCAAAGUAACAGACAUUAAAACCAGAAAAUGAGAAUGACCGGCUCAGAAGAUGAAAGUGAUUGGGCAUAACGAGAUGGGGAUCUAAGGGCAUCUUGGGAGUUGCUUCUCAACUUAUUGUGACAUUAACAAAAUAAAACCUUUAAGUAAAACUAUUUUAAGUUGGGUUUUCUUUUUUUGUAUGAUGAAAACACAACAUUUAACAUAAUAUCUACUCUCUUGGCAAAAUUUUAAGUAUAUAACAUUCUUAAUUAUAGAUACUAUGCUGUGCAGUAGGUCUCUGGGACUUACUCAUCCUGUAUAAAUUCUAUACCCUUUGAUUAAUACCUUCCACAUCCAUUGGCAAGCACCAUUAUACUCUCUGAUUCAAGUUUAUUUUUUAUUCCUCAUACAAGGUGUAUCAUGUAUUUUUCCUUCUGUGUCUGGCUUGUUUCACUUGGCAAAGUGUUCACUGGGGUUCAUCCAAGUUGUCAAAAAAUGGCAGGAUUUCUUGUUUUUGUUAAAACUGAAUAAUGUUCAACUGUACAUGUGUAACAAGUUUUCUUUAUCCAUUCAUCUGCAGAUGGACACUUAGGUUGCUUACAUAUCUUGAUUAUUGUGAAUAGUGCUGCACUGAACAUGGGAGUGCAGGUAUCUCUUCAAGAUCUUUUGGAUUUAUAUACAGAAGCAAGAUUGCUGGAUCAUAUAGUAGUCUACUUUAAUUUUUAGAGGAACUUCCAUACUGUUUUCUGAUGGCAGCACCAAUAUAUCCUCAUCAUCAGUAUACAAGAGGCUCCUUUCUCCAUAUCCUUAUGAAGACUUUUUAUCUUUUUAUCUUUUGGUAACAGCCAUUCUAAAAGAUGUAUGUGUACUUUGGAGAAAUAUCUAUUCAGCUCUUUUGCCUGUUUUCAAACUGGGUUGAUUUUUUCCCUACUGAAUUGCUGGAAUUCCUUACAUAUUCAAAUAUUAACAUCUCACCAGCAAUUGCAAACAAAUUCUACACUUUUACUCCCAAUCCACAUACUAUGAAAUUGACAUCACAAUCUAUUUUUCCAUAUUGUGUAGCUAUUAAAAAUAGAUAUAAACUAUAAAUAGUUAUUCUUAAUAUUUUGUCUUUUACCUUUUAUACUAGGAUUAAAACUGAUUUAUAUAACACCAGUAGAGUAUUACUUAUUCUGUAUUUAUCUACAUAUUUACCUUCACCAGUGAUAUUUACACUUUCAUAUGCUUUCUUGUAGUUGUUUAGUGUUCUUUCAUUUCAACUCCUUUUAGGGGCAUCUGGGUGGCUCAAUCAGUUAACCAUUCAACUCUUGAUUUCGGCUCAGGUCACGAUCUCAAGUUUGUGAGAUCAAGCCCCAUGUCAAGCUUUGACCUGAUAGCACGGACCCUGCUUGGGAUUCUCUUCUCUCUCCAUCUCUCCCCACCCCCCACUGGUUGUGUGCAUGUGCACGCUCUCUCUCAAAUAAACAAAAACUGGGGGGGGGGAAAGAACUCUCUGUAGCAUGUCUUGUAAGGCAGGUCUAGUAAUGCCAGGUGAAGUAGUCUCAGUAGUUUUUUCUUUCAGCACUUUGAAUAUAUCAUCUUACUUUCUCCUGACUUCCACGGUUUUUGCUGAGAAAUUUGCUGAGACUUAGGGAGUUUCCUCGUAUGUGAUUAGAGGUGUUUUUUUGUCUUGCUGCUCCAUCACUUUUGACAGUUCUAUAGUAACGUGCCUUCGUGAAGACUUCUUUGGGUUGAAUCUAUUUGAGGACAUAUAAACUUCAUGCACCUGGAUGACCGUAUCUCUCCCCUGACUUGAUGGUAUUAGCCAUUAUUUCUUUAAAUAUGCUUUCUGCCUUUCUUUUCUCCUUUGAGGUUCCCGUAAUGUGUAUACUGUAUUUCUCUAUAGUGUCCCACAAUUGAUACAAGUUUCCUCCACUAUUUUUCAUUCUUUUUUCUUUUGGUUCUCUGACUGGAUAAUUUAAAAUGGCUUAUCUUUGAGUUGUAUGAUUUUUGUUAUCUGCUUGAGUUGGCUGCUGAAGCUGUUUAUUACUUUUUUUCAGUUUAGCCAAUGUAUUAUUCUUCAGCUGUACAAUUUCUUUUGCUUUUUUUAUAGUUUCUGUCUUUGCUAAACUCUCAUUUUGUUCAUGUACUGUCUUCCUGAUUUCAUUUAGUUUUGUGUACUCUUACAGCUCACUGAGCUUCUUUAUGACAAUUAUUUUGAAUUAUUUGUCAGGCAGUUCACAGUUUUCCAUUAUUCAUAACUUUUUUUUGUUUCUUUGGUGGUAUCAAGUUUCCCUAAUCGCUGUAAUCUUGCACUGAUGUCUGCCCAUCUAAAGAAGUAGUUAUUUCUUUCAGUCUUUGCAGACUGGCUUUGGCAGGGAAAGUUCUUCACUAGUCAGCCUAGCCAGAGAUUUUGGCUGGGUCAGCUGAUGGAGUUCAUUACUCGGGUAAUGGACCAGUUACUGACAUCUGUGUGGUAAUGUUGAGAGCCACUGCUCCUUUUCUUUGUUCUUAGCUGUUGUGGGGUGAUUCUUCAGUAAUCUGGGUAGGACAUGAAAGAAAUGACCUUCAUGGGUAAUGUUCUGAAAGGCUGGGGAUGUCAGACUCUCACUCACUUUGCUCUCCCUUUCCCCAGAGAGGCCCAGAGGAUCUCUUCUGGUGCUGUGCUAUGUUGAGAAGUGACAAUGGUCUCAACAUUUCCAUCAUCACAGAAACUAGAGAGUACUCUUUAAAAUGAUUAUUACAGUUUCAUUGUUAAAGAAAAGGAAAAAAACAAUCACACUUAGACAAAAAAAAAAAAAAGAUGCAGGGGAGAAAAUGGCAAAAUAUGGGAAUUUCUCACAAUCAAGAAUACCAAUUGCCACAUACAGUGAAAAGUCUUAAAACAAGUUGGCUUCUGAAUCCUUGUGUCAGAUGUGUUUAUUUUUUAAUGCUACCUUGUAUGUGUUUA